GGGCGCCGUAGCAAUACGGAGCGGCAGACGGGAGAGUAACACGUGGGAACGUGCCCUUCAGUUCGGAACAACCCAGGGAAACUUGGGCUAAUACCGGAUAAGCCCUUACGGGGAAAGAUUUAUCGCCGAAAGAUCGGCCCGCGUCUGAUUAGCUAGUUGGUGAGGUAACGGCUCACCAAGGCGACGAUCAGUAGCUGGUCUGAGAGGAUGAUCAGCCACAUUGGGACUGAGACACGGCCCAAACUCCUACGGGAGGCAGCAGUGGGGAAUAUUGGACAAUGGGCGCAAGCCUGAUCCAGCCAUGCCGCGUGAGUGAUGAAGGCCCUAGGGUUGUAAAGCUCUUUUGUGCGGGAAGAUAAUGACGGUACCGCAAGAAUAAGCCCCGGCUAACUUCGUG
rnacentral:rRNA from 1 species